rnacentral:lncRNA from 1 species
CUCAGCCGGGCCGCCGCCGCCAUCUUUGUCCGAGUGCGCAGGCGCGGGACUGGCCUCCCCCUUACUCCGAGCCGCAGAAGCCCCGCGCAGGCGCAGGCGCAGGCCGGCCGGGAGCUGGAAAGGCACCGUGGAGAGCGCACCCUACCGGCCGCGGGCGGCGCUGCUGCAGAUAAAGGGGGCAGGCUUGCGCCCGGCUGUUUGCAACCACUGCCUAUCGUCUGUGUAGACCUGAACAAGGAGGGGGGAAAAAAGAAAUCCCUGCCAUGUUGUGCAGGCGUCCUCGAUGAUCAAAAUCCUUGGUACAGGGAUAUAAAGAUGUACAAAACAAUUCCUGGUCUCCAGGAGCUCCCAGAGAAGAGGUGUGUAAGUCAACAGAGGCAGCCCAGGGGAACAAAAUGCUUCAUGAGGGCUAUGUCGAGGACACACGGGUGGCAGGUGGAGAAGUGAACCACGCUUCGAGGGUGAGAGGAGAGCCCGAGGAAGUCUUCAUACAGAGGAAAUUCUUGUGCUCAGUGUUUAAAGAAACUUUAUCAUUAAGAUGUUCCUGCCAUGGAUGUCAGCACCAGCACAGAACUGGACCCCUGGCAUUAACUCCUGGUUGUGCCACUUACUCGGUGGCCUCACUGGACUGCGAGCUCCAUAUAAGCAUGCAUGUUUAUCUGAUUCUUAAUUUUAUUCCCAAUGCUUGGCAUUUACGAGAUGCUCAAAAUAUACUUGCUGAAUUGAAACCUCUCUGAAGUUCCAUGGAACCAAUUGCCUUCUCACAUAUAUAAUUUAUUGUAUUAUUAUGCUAAUGAUUUAUUAUCAGUUUCCCCCCUCUAGAAUAUACCCUCCACAAGGGUAAGGAUCUUCGCCUACAUUGGUGACUGAUGUAUCUCACAUGCCUAGAACAGUGGCUGCACAUACCAUUGAAAAACGUAAAAACCGUUCUUAACUGUGGCCCGGAUUUCUUGAGCUAGAGGGUACAUUGUUCUGGACAGGAAGAGUGCGGAAAGCCCCAGGCAACCCCAGCCAAGGAAAAGGACAGCUGUACCCUGAUCCCCCUCCUCCUGCCCCAACCUGCAGGGGCUGGUGGAGGAGGAGGAGCAGGCUGGUGCCCGAGCCCCACCCAGGGAAAGAAGGGAAGCUUGGAGGUGGAGGAAAGACGGAACUCUUAAAGAGUCGGCUGGAUUCUUUAAUACUUGAGAGUAAUGUGGAAAAUAAGAUCGUUUCUAAAGCUGAAAGUGACCAGAGAGUGAUGCGAUCUGCAGGGAAUUUCAUAAAG